rnacentral:rRNA from 1 species
AGCUCCAAUAGCGUAUAUUAUAGUUGUUGUGGUUGAAAAGCUCGUAGUUGGAUCUCAACAGACCCGGGUCGGUUUACUUUGUGUAAUACUGAUCCGGUACUGUGCUUUUGCUGGAGGUUCAGGGGUGCUCUUAACCGAGUGUCUCUGAGUGCCAGCAGGUUUACUUCGAAGAAAAUUGGUUGCUCAAGGAAGGCUGUUAUGCCUGAAAAUUUGUGCAUGGAAUAAUAGAAUAGGAAGUCGUUUCUAUUUUGUUGGUUUUCGGAAAUCGACUUAAUGAUUAAUAGGGACAGUCGGGGGCAUUUGUAUUCAAACGACAGAGGUGAAAUUCUUGGACCGUUUGAAGACAAACUACUGCGAAAGCAUUUGCCAAGAAUGUUU